CAUUAUGAAGCUUAGAGCGUUAACCUUUUAAGUUAAAACUAGAGACAAACAGUCUCCAUAAUGA
rnacentral:tRNA from 1 species